GUUGCAGUUGCAGUUGCAGUUGCAGUUGAUGGUGCUGGCGCAGUUGAUGGCGCAGUUGCCGAUGGCAUUUCAUAAUCGCUGCCAGUUCCAUGGAAAGUGCACUCAAUUAUGGCCAACAGACAGGCGCUGAGUUUGACUCGGCUCGGCUCGGUGUCUGGAUGUUUGGCUGUCUGGCUGUCCGACUGUCCGACUGUCUGGAUGUCUUGGUGUCUCUCGUGGCUUUGGUGGGAUAGUGAGUGUCUUGAAGUGAACGCUGCUGUCCCGCUCUGGCGCUACAGGGGCUACAGGCUAAAGCGUAUCUCAUGCGCUGCCAACUUGGCCUAAACAAACAUUCAAAUGCGAGAGGCAAUGCCAGGCGGCAGCCACACUUGGCCACAUUUUCAGCAGAAGUCAACGCCAACAUAUCCACACACUCGCACUCACACUCACACUCGCACUCACACUCACACUCGCACUCACAUUCACAUCAUCAUUGCCGUCAACUCGAAACGUCAUUGUGUUGACUCAACGCAUUUGAGCGACUUGCUCAAGACUCUCGCCCAGCUCCAGGCCGAGAUCGAGCCAGAGCUGCGACUGGAACUGACUCGAGUCUCCAAAUCCAACCCCAUCCCCAUACCCAUUCCAUGCCAUCUGGCGGCGCUUAGCAUUGCUUCAAUAUUUGAGCUGUUAACUUAGCGAGGGUGGGAGGGUGCUAAGCAGCGACUGGCAGGACGCUAAUUGUUCCACUGCUUGCGCCUUUGUUUGACUGCCAAUUCGCACUUGCAGCGCUCUCAGUUGAUGGCGGGCCUCGUUCGGAUCUUGUUAGUGAGCCGCUAACUGCUCUCAAUGCCCCGCUAAGUGACUCGGUCAACAAAGGCGCCCCGGCCAUUUCACUAUCAAUGGACGUGCCAGCGACUCAAAACGAUUCUCAAUUAUGGAAACACAGCGUUUUAGCUCAUUUAAACUGGUUUCAUUUAAAUAA